rnacentral:rRNA from 1 species
CCUACGGGAGGCAGCAGUGAGGAAUAUUGGUCAAUGGACGAGAGUCUGAACCAGCCAAGUAGCGUGAAGGAUGACUGCCCUAUGGGUUGUAAACUUCUUUUAUAUGGGAAUAAAAUGUUCCACGUGUGGGUUUUUGUAUGUACCCUAUGAAUAAGGAUCGGCUAACUCCGUGCCAGCAGCCGCGGUAAUACGGAGGAUCCGAGCGUUAUCCGGAUUUAUUGGGUUUAAAGGGAGCGUAGGUGGUUUGUUAAGUCAGUUGUGAAAGUUUGCGGCUCAACCGUAAAAUUGCAGUUGAAACUGGCAGUCUUGAGUACAGUAGAGGUGGGCGGAAUGCGUGGUGUAGCGGUGAAAUGCUUAGAUAUCACGAAGAACUCCGAUUGCGAAGGCAGCUCACUGGACUGCAACUGACACUGAGGCUCGAAAGUGUGGGUAUCAAACAGGAUUAGAUACCCCUGUAGUC